UGACAGGGACAUAUAGGAAGGGAUUCAGUCAGAGGUACGUUGUAGACCUCUGUUGACAGGGACAUAUAGGAAGGGAUUCAGUCAGAGGUACGUUGUAGACCUCUGUUGACAGGGACAUAUAGGAAGGGAUUCAGUCAGAGGUAUGUUGUAGACCUCUGACAGGGACAUAUAGGAAGGGAUUCAGUCAGAGGUACGUUGUAGACCUCUGACAGGGACAUAUAGGAAGGGAUUCAGUCAGAGGUACGUUGUAGACCUCUGUUGACAGGGACAUAUAGGAAGGGAUUCAGUCAGAGGUACGUUGUAGACCUCUGUUGACAGGGACAUAUAGGAAGGGAUUCAGUCAGAGGUAUGUUGUAGACCUCUGUUGACAGGGACAUAUAGGAAGGGAUUCAGUCAGAGGUACGUUGUAGACCUCUGUUGACAGGGACAUAUAGGAAGGGAUUCAGUCAGAGGUACGUUGUAGACCUCUGUUGACAGGGACAUAUAGGAAGGGAUUCAGUCAGAGGUACGUUGUAGACC